rnacentral:rRNA from 1 species
GUCUACGGCCACACCACCCUGAACACGCCCGAUCUAGUCUGAUCUCGGAAGUGAGGGUCAGAGGUUGGGAGAAGGGGCCAACCUGUACAGCGUGUUGAAUGCC